rnacentral:rRNA from 1 species
AAUAAGCACCGGCUAACUACGUGCCAGCAGCCGCGGUAAUACGUAGGGUGCGAGCGUUAACCUUCUAACUACUGGGCGUAAAGCGUGCGCAGGCGGUCUGGGCAGGGACAGUGGUGAAAUCCCCGGGCUCAACCUGGGAACUGCCAUUGUGACUGCAAGGCUGGAGUACGGCAGAGGGGGAUGGAAUUCCGCGUGUAGCAGUGAAAUGCGUAGAUAUGCGGAGGAACACCGAUGGCGAAGGCAGUCCCCUGGGCCUGUACUGACGCUCAUGCACGAAAGCGUG